AUACAAUACUUAAUUCAUGAAAAGUGUUGAUGUGACUCACACACGAUGUGUGUUUAUGUGUAACAAGUGAAUCAAGUGUUUAAGCUCCUCCUCACUGUCUUUAUAAGCCUCAGUGUUUCUUCUCCUCACACUCCCGCCCUGCUCACCUCUCAGCUGGACUGUAAGGAACGUUUACAGCUCACACUGACAACAUGCUGGGGAUCCUCUGCACUCUGCUCACUGCUCUCACAUAUGUUGAUGCAGCGAUAGUGCUGACUCAGACGCCUGCUGUCCACUCAGUUCCUACAGGACAAGAGGUUGUCCUCAACUGCAACAUUCAGAGAUAUGAUGGAUAUUAUGUGUCAUGGUAUAAACAGGUUCCUGGUGAAGCUCCUCAGUAUGUUCUCAGUUUUUACCAUGGGAACAAUGCUCUCGACUUUGGAUCAGGAUUCUCUUCAGACCGGUUCAACUCUAAAUCCUCUUCAAGCACAGAAUACCAGUUCAUCAUAAAGCGUUCAGAGACAGGAGACUCU